rnacentral:rRNA from 1 species
CGUUGUCCGGAAUUAUUGGGCGUAAAGCGCGCGCAGGUGGUUUCUUAAGUCUGAUGUGAAAGCCCACGGCUCAACCGUGGAGGGUCAUUGGAAACUGGGGAACUUGAGUGCAGGAGAGAAGAGUGGAAUUCCACGUGUAGCGGUGAAAUGCGUAGAGAUGUGGAGGAACACCAGUGGCGAAGGCGACUCUUUGGCCUGUAACUGACACUGAGGCGCGAAAGCGUGGGGAGCAAACAGG